rnacentral:lncRNA from 1 species
CAAAAGAGAGAAAUCCGCUCAUAUUUCUCUUGGUUAGACAAACGAUAAGAGACAUUUGACUCAUACUGUGAGUAGUAACUUAAUUAACAAAUCUAACUCAUACACCUGAAUAUCUUGAGCGAAAGAAAGUAAACAUGAUAAAAAAUAAGAUAAGUUUUAUACAUUCACAUAUUUGGUACUAAACUAGUCCAUACGUUUAAAUAGGUAAAAUAUAAGACAGAAACUAUAUGCUUGGAUUCAAUUUACACGAAUGAGCAGUAAUCCCUACCAAAAAAAGUGACGAACACAUCCAAUACUCACAGUCAAUAUUGAACCCCAAGAAGUGACAUCUAUAAUGAGAAAAAAAAUUUACCUUGUAAGGGGCAGCAAAUCGGGCUCGACGUCAAGUAUUUUUCGGUGAUCGAACUCAACUUCGAGACUCAAAAAUUGGACCAAAAAUUAGAAAGAGACUAUCGAUUUUGAGAUCCCUUGCCUAUUUUAUGGGUUUUCCUCACUUUCUCACAAUUUUUUUUCUUCUUUUUCGAAAUCUUUGCCUUUUACUUGGAUUUUCCCCCUUUCUCACAGAUUUUUCUCUUAUCAUAAAUUUUUGCUUUCUCUCUGAUUAAAAAAAUUUGUGUUUUGAACCUCUCUCUGCUCGUUUUCCCCUUCUUCAACCUUUAUCCCGACUUAUUCUCGAGGUGAUAGAAGAACCCAUAUUUAUAGGUGAAUUCAGACUUGAAAGUUCUAAUUCGAAACUCAAAUAUGAGAAAAUUGAUUUGAAAUUUGACAAGAACUCUGAAAUGAUUCUUGAUUUUCUAGGCCAUUGAUUGCGGAUUUGAAAAUUUUUUUCCAUUGUUAUACGAAUUAGAGACUAUCUUCCCUGUCCUUUUCGGUUUCACGGGUUAGGGAGACAAAGAAACAGGGAUUCUUAUGCAUCCUAAUGACAGACUGAUGGUCAACAGCGAUAGGCUAGGGUGAGGGUUAGGGUUCUUAGUUUGGUGAUAAUGAAGAAGAGGGAGAAGGGGAAGGAGAAAGGAGCCUCUGAUUUUUGUGUAUUUUGGGUAAGAGAAAAG